AUUGAACGCUGGCGGCAGGCCUAACACAUGCAAGUCGAGCGAGCGGCGGACGGGUGAGUAAUGUAUGGGGAUCUGCCCGAUAGAGGGGGAUAACUACUGGAAACGGUGGCUAAUACCGCAUACUAUCGGAUGAACCCAUAUGGGAUUAGCUAGUAGGUGGGGUAAAGGCUCACCUAGGCGACUAUCCCUAUCUGGUCUGAGAGGAUGACCAGCCACACGUGCACUGCGACACGGUCCAGACUCCUACGGUAGGCAGCAGUGGGGAAUUUUGCACAAUGGGCGCAAGCCUGAUUCAGCCAUGCCGCGUGUAUGAAGAAGGCCUUAGGGUUGUAAAGUACUUUCAGCGGGGAGGCGUUACCCGCAGAAGAAGCACCGGCUAACUCCGUGCCAGCAGCCGCGGUAAUAC
rnacentral:rRNA from 1 species